GUUUGAUCUGGCUCGAANUCACGCUGGCGGCGUGCCUACACNUGCAAGUCGAACGUGAACGGGGGCAACCCNCAGNAAAGUGGCGUACGGGUGAGAACACGUAGGUAAUCUCCCUAGAGUCUGGAAUAACCGGCCGAAAGGCUGGCUANUACUGGAUAGAGCGACGGAAUCCGUAAUUGGGUUUUUCGGGAAAGGGAGGUCGUAAGACCCUUCGCUCUAGGAUGAGCCUGCGUCCCNUCAGCUAGUUGGCGAGGUAAUGGCUCACCAAGGCUUUGACGGGUAGCUGGUCUGAGAGGAUGAUCAGCCACACUGGAACUGAAACACGGUCCAGACUCCUACGGGAGGCAGCAGUGGGGAAUCUUGCGCAAUGGACGAAAGUCUGACGCAGCCACGCCGCGUGAGUGAAGAAGGCCUUCGGGUUGUAAGCUCU
rnacentral:rRNA from 1 species